AGGAAAAUUCUCACGCCAGUAAAAAAAAAAGAACCCUCGCCUCGCUCGCCGCCUGGAGCCCCCCACCGGCGCAUCGCAUCGCAUGGCGGCGGCGACGGCGGCGGCCUCCAACGGGGGCUCAGCACCCAAUGCGCCCGUGCCCGGGCGCCUUGCAUACAUCUACAACGAGGUGAGCCGCAUCGCGCACACGCUGCCCCUCCCCUCCGUCCUCCGUCCUCUGCUCCUACUUCACCCUCGCCGACGAGCCAGCUAGCACCGCCCCCUGGAAGCCCCGAUGAGAUAGUCAAGCUGUUCUCCAGCCUGUACGACCUGCCGUCCGCGGCCGUGCUGCCGUCGGCCGAGCCGGUCGUGACGAAGCCGCUCAAGAUCGGCGUCGUGCUUCCUGGAGGCCAGGCUCCAUGGGGACAAUUAAUCGGCAUCUUUGAUGCUAGUUUCAGUGUGCUAUGGUUCUUCUAAGUCAUGCAAUGGCAUCUACCACUUGAUGAUAUGUGCUGUGACUAAUGAAGAUGCAUAAGAUCUCAUGCAUUCGUACUACUUUUAGAGAUUUCUGGGCACUUACAAGUGAGCAGCAUUUUGCCUAUUUUGGUCCUGAUUGGCAUCUUCCUAAUGACACUAUUUUUUUACAAGGGUUAGCUUCUAUUGGUUCCUCUGUUCAUUUUUUUCUUCUGACGAGAGGUUCUGCAUGUUCCCUCAGUGAAGCCUUAUGUUCUCCUCAAAGAAGCCUUAUGUCCAAGAAUAAAUUACCUACGUUUGAGUGCGAGCAAUGUACAACAAUUUCUAUUUUCUUCCCUCAAACGAGAAUUGGUGGUUGGUAUUCAACUAUUUUUUGUAUGCCGACAAUGUUUUUUCUGCAUAUCGAUUAACUGUCCCUUUACAUAAAGAAAGAAGUUUGUGAUUCUUUGAGCCA